rnacentral:rRNA from 1 species
AUGUCCUCUAGAAUUAGAAAGUGCCCGUCAGGAUAUGAAAAACGUCAGAAAAAGAAAAAAAAAGAGAAACUUGAUGAAUCUCUGAAAGGUGGUCUUGAUAUAUUUUUUGUUAAAGAACCAAAGGUUUCUUCUGAAAAUCAAAGUGUAGAUGCUAAUACUAAUGAUGUGCACGACGAUGACUCUAUCCAUACUAAAACUCAGGGCGAAGAGGUUAAUGUUGUUAGUAACCUGGAUGAGGUACAUGUUGAGAAUAAUAACCCCGAUGAAGCAAAUCAUGUUGAUGAAGUACCUGCUAAUGUUGAUGUUUCUUUGCAACCUGAUAUAUUUGAUCCUCGAAAUUGGGAUGGCCUUGAUUCUAAAGCAAUUGAUAAUUUGGUAGAGAAGGGUCCUAAGAGGGCAUCUAUCCAAAAGGGCCAUAAAGAUAAACUUGGUAGGAGAUUUUCUGCUGUGUUAUAUAGUAGCGUUUUGCCAAAUGGAGAAAAGUGUGAUAGAGAGUGGCUUGUAUAUUCUAAAGAGCUCAAUAGAGUAUUCUGCUUUUGUUGCAAAAAAAUUGGGAAGGGGCGUGCUAGAGGUCAUUUGGCAAACGAGGGAUUUAGUGACUGGAUACACCUUAGUAUCAGACUUAGAGAGCAUGAAACUGGAGUUGAACAUCUUCAAAAUAUGGUCACUUGGCAUGAGUUGCGCCUCAGGUUGCAACAGAGUAAAACUAUUGAUAGCGCUGCUCGACAACAGCUUGAGAAAGAAAUGGACCAUUGGCGUAAAGUAUUGCUUAGAAUUCUCUUGAUUGUUAAAUUUCUUGCGAAACAUAAUCUAGCCUUUUGUGGUACUAAUUCCAAAUUGUAUCAAGAUAGCAACGGAAAUUUCUUAGGCUUGGUUGAAAUGUUGGCUGAGUUUGACCCGGUUAUUCAAGAACAUGUUCGUCGCAUAACAAAUGAUGAAACUCAUACUCAUUACCUUGGUCAUGUCAUCCAAAAUGAGUUAAUACAUUUGAUUGCUUCUGCAAUUAAAUCUGAGAUCAUUAAAAAAAUAAAAGAAGCAAAAUAUUUCUCGGUGAUACUUGAUUGUACUCCUGAUGCGAGUCACAAAGAACAGAUGUCUUUGAUUAUACGGUAUGUUGAAACAUCUUCAAGUUCUAUUUCCGUUGUAGAAUCCUUUUUAGGAUUUUUGGAUGUAAAUGAUACCACUGGAAAAGGACUCUUUGAGGUUUUGCAGGAUGAACUAAAGAACCUUGAUCUAGACAUAGACAAUGUGAGAGGGCAGAGUUAUGACAAUGGAUCAAACAUGAAAGGUAAGAAUCUGGGGGUUCAAGCCUUGCUUUUGAAUAUAAAUCCUAGAGCUUUUUAUUCUGCAUGUGGGUGUCAUAGCCUUAAUUUAACACUAUGUGAUAUGGCCAAGACUUGUGGUAAAGCUAAGGACUUCUUUGGAAUCAUACAACGUAUCUACACAACAUUUGCUAAUUCCACUAAGAAAUGGAAGAUUUUGAAAGAUAAUAUAGGAGAAGGAUUGACUCUGAAAUCAGUCUAAUCUACUCGUUGGGAGAGUCGCAUAAAUAGUGUCAAAGCUAUUAGGUUUCAGAUUUCAGAAAUACGAGAAGCUCUACUGCAAGUAGCUGAUGUCGAUAAAGAUCCUAAAACUUGUAGUGAAGCUAAAUCUCUAGCAAAUAAUGAACUUGGUGAUUUUGAAUUUGUAGUAGCGAUAAUCAUUUGGUAUGAUGUAUUGGCUGCAGUAAAUUUGAUUAGCAAGGACUUACAGUCAAAAGAUAUGCUUAUUGAUGUUGCCAUUGAAAAAGUGCAAGGCUUGAUUACCUUUUUCAAAGGUUACAGAGACACUGGUUUCACUACUGCAGUAGAAAUAGCAAGGGAAAUAGCACUCGAAAUAGAUAUCGACCCUGCAUUUCGGAAAAAGCGUGAAAUUAAAAGAAAAAACACUUUGAAUCCUGAUGAUGUGUUAGAUGCUUCACAAUCUGCACAAGAGUCGUUUAGGAUAAAGUACUUCUUACCUGUUGUUGAUCAAGCUAUUGCUUCACUUACUACGAGAUUUGAGCAAUAUAAAUCGUACGAAAAAACUUUUGGUUUCUUGUUUACUUCUCAUGCACUAAACUCAUUGGAUGAUAAAAAUUUGAGGUCUUCUUGCAGUAGCCUUGAGACUGCACAUAGAAGUGGUGACAAAUCUGACAUUGAUGGUAAUGAUUUAUAUGUUAAGUUAAAGUUACUCCAAGAUUUCAUUCCAAAUGAAAAAAAUAUGGGACCUAUUGACAUUUUAAAUUUUUUGAAACGCUUGAAUUGUUUUCCCAAUGCAACUAUUGCAUAUAAAAUUUUAUUGACCAUCCCAGUAACCGUUGCAUCGGCGGAGAGAAGUUUUUCUAAACUAAAGUUGUUGAAGUUCUAUUUGCGUUCUACAAUGACACAAGAAAGACUUAGUGGACUGGCUUUGAUAGCAAUUGAAAACGACAUCUUGGAGAAUGUAUCUUAGGAGGAACUAAUUGAAGAAUUUAUCUCAAGGAAUGCAAGAAGGAUGUCACGCUUCUGCUAG